rnacentral:rRNA from 1 species
GCUACGGGGUGCAGCAGUGGGGAAUAUUGGGCAAUGGAGGCAACUCUGACCCAGCAACGCCGCGUGAAUGAUGAAGGUCUUCGGAUUGUAAAGUUCUGUGAUGGGGGAUGAACACAAUGACGGUACCCCAAUAGCAAGCCACGGCUAACUACGUGCCAGCAGCCGCGGUAAUACGUAGGUGGCAAGCGUUAUCCGGAAUGACUGGGCGUAAAGGGUGCGUAGGUGGUUUAGUAAGUUGGCGGUGUAAUUCAGGGGCUCAAACUCGGCGCUACCGCGAAAACUAUUAGACUAGAGUGCAGGAGGGGUAAUUUGAAUUCCUAGUGUAGCGGGGGAAAGCGUAGGUAUUAGGAGGAACAUCAGGGGCGAAGGCGACUUACUGGACUGUAACUGACACUGGGGCACGAAAUCGUGGGGAGCAAACAGGAUUAGAUACCCUAGUAGUC